rnacentral:rRNA from 1 species
UACGGAGGGGGCUAGCGUUGUUCGGAAUUACUGGGCGUAAAGCGCACGUAGGCGGCUUUGUAAGUUAGAGGUGAAAGCCCGGGGCUCAACUCCGGAAUUGCCUUUAAGACUGCAUCGCUAGAAUUGUGGAGAGGUAAGUGGAAUUCCGAGUGUAGAGGUGAAAUUCGUAGAUAUUCGGAAGAACACCAGUGGCGAAGGCGACUUACUGGACACAUAUUGACGCUGAGGUGCGAAAGCGUGGGGGAGCAAACAG